ACACACCCAGAGCCGCCAGGGCUGCCCAGGGGCGAACAGCCGGCCCAGCCCCACAGGCCCUUUUUCUCACAAUGCUCACACCAUCGUCGCUUGUUCUGAGGAGGACCCGCCAUGGCCAAAGGGGCAAGAAGGCUCUGCUUUGCCCCGCCCUGGCACUAGAGCCCCGGCAGCCUCAUCCCGGGAAAGAGGGGCUGACGGACACCCAGACACACCCCACCACUACCACGAGCAAACCCACCCUGACACACCCACGGAUACACACGGGUGCAUGCGCGCAGACACACACACACACCACACCCGGGCACACACACACGGACACACAAAGACACAGACACAGAUAGCUCAAAGGGAGACCUCCCCUCAUAUUGUCUUAUGCCCAAUUUCUGCCUCCAAAGAAAGAAGAAGUAAAAUCUAAAAGGCAGAAAUGAAAUCCACAGGCAGACAGCCCCGCGCCACACCCUGGGCCUGGUAGUUAAAGAUCGAUCCCUGACCUACUCGGUUAUGUUAUCUAUAGAUUACAGACAUUGUAUAGAAAAGCACUGUGAAAAUCCCUGUCCUGUUUUGUUCUGAUCUAAUUACCUGUGCAUGCAGCCCCCAGUCACGUACCCUCUGCUUCCUCAAUCCAUCAAGACCCUCUCACGCGGACCCCCUUAGAGUUGUAAGCCCUUAAGAGGGACAGGAAUUGCUCACUCGGAGAGCUUGGUUUUUGGAGACGUGAGUCUGCGGAUGCUCCCAGCUGAAUAAAGCCCUUCCUUCUACAACUCGGUGUCUGAGGGGUUCUGUCUGCAGCUCCUCCUGCUGCAGAAGGAGAGCAAGGGAGAGAGGGAUGGAGAAAUAGAACCAGAGGGAGAGAGAGAGACAGCGAUAGAGAGAGAGAGAGAGAGACAGAAAAGGGGGGAGGAGAGAGAGAGGGGGGAAGAGAGAGCACCACAGUAGAGCGCGAGGUGGAGGGGGAAGUAGAGAAAGGGAGAGGGUGAGGGAGUUGUGGAGCGACAGCGACAGAGCCUUGGAGAGGGAGGCUCUGCUCAGGUAGACAGGGCACCUUUCAGCAGGCCGGGGUGUGGUGGAGGGUUCUUGGGCCGGGCUAGAACAGGGGGUCAGGGCCCCCCACCCAGGAAAACCAAUGGAGCCCUGAGACUUGUUUUUUUCCUUGGAUUGGUUGGUUGCUUUGGGGGUGCGUUUCAUAAGGUCCUUCCUUUGUUUGCUUCUUUCUGUCUCCUUGAUGCGGUGGGCCCCGAGAUUUGUAGAGUGUGCUCGUGUGUCUGGCAGGAGCCGUGGCGCCGAGCCUGUCCACGGGGCGAGGCCUGGGUCUCUCUCCUGUCCUCCGGACUGGAGUUUACACGAAGUCGGUGGCAUUGGGAAACAGGGUGCACAGGGACGGAUUUCCUCGUGGCUGGCGAAGAAAAUGUCCUUCCUCUGGGGAAAGCAGCCCUCGGGUUCUGGAGCGGAGGUCUUGGCUGGGGUCUGUGGCACCCGCUGCCCCUGCUCGCCCCUCCCACCGGCUUGGACGGUUGCAGUGACGCUGAAUGAAUGAAUACAAUUGCCUGGGAGUCCGGGGAGCGUGAAGAGACCCGGGACCUCAGGGAACCCGCGCCUGCACCCUCGGGGUCGGUCCCGUCCCGCCCGGGUUGGGUGGGGCUGCCGCGAGUCGGAAGAGGUGGGAUGCUGCUGCCUGGCGGUGCUGCAGUGGCGGAUCUUCAGGAGGAGGAUUUGUCCCCAGUGCCUUAUUUAGUUCACUUGGUGAGGUCAUGUUUUCCUGGAUGGUGUUGAUGCUAGUAGAUGUUCUUCAGUGUCUGGACAUUAAAAUCUUGGGCAUGCAGCACCAUAUGAGAAGUUUAAAAAAUAAAAUUUAAAGAGAGAAAAGGCUUUGGUAUCAGGAUGAUUCUGGCCUCAUAGAACAAGAUGGGGAAGAGUCCCUCCUCCUCUAUUUCUUGAAAUAGUUUCAGUAGGACUGGUACUGGCUCUUCUUUGUACAUCUGUUAAAAUUUGUUAAUCUAUCAGGUCCUGGGCUUUUUGGGGGUUGGUAGGCUAUUUAUUACGGAUUCAAUUUUUGGAGCUCAUAAUUGGUCUGCUCAGAGACUGAAUUUCUUCCUGGUUCAGUCUUGAGAGAGUAUAUGUGUCCAGGAAUUUAUUAAUCUCUUCUAGGGUUUCUAGUUUGUGUGUAUAGAGGUGCUCGUAGUAGUUACUGGUUGUUAUUUUUUUUUCUCUGGGGUCAGUGGUAACAUUCCCUUCAUCAUUUCUAAUUUUCUUUAUUUGAAUCUUCUCUCAUCUUCUUUAUUAAUCUAGCUAGUGCCCUAUCUUAGUAAUUUUUUCAAAAAACCUUGAUUAAGUGAUCUUUUGAACAGUUUUUCAUGUCUCAAUUUCUUUCAAUUCAGCUCUGAUUUUAGUUAUUUCUUGUCUUCUAUAAGCUUUGUGGUUGAGUUCUCCUUGCUUCUCUAAUUCUUUCAGUUGUGAUGUUAGGUUGUUAAUUUGAGAUAUUUCUAAUUUUUUGAUAUGGGCAUUACUUCUUAUGCCCUACUCUAAAUUUUGUUCUUCUAGAAAACUCAGAACUAUGCUUUCUAAACCAAUUCAAACUUUCUCAGUGAAUCAACCUGGACUCCCUGAGGCCAAGUUAGCAAUUUUCCAUUACACUUGGUUCUCUUUCUCUGUAAGAAUAUCUAAUGCAACAAUUCAAGUGUUUCUUUCCCUCCUGGUAAUGCGGGGAACUCCUUUUGGCUGAGACCAAGACUUAAAACCUUGUUCUUUCAACAUUAAUGAAGAUCUAUUUAGAAAGCCUCCAUUUUUGCAGAAAAGAUAUAUAAACACCAAUGAAAAUCAAUAUGAAAUUAUAUGACAUACAAUUAUAUUGUGGAAAGACUGAAUAAAUAAGUGAACUAAGCUCUAAGAAAAAAAGAUGAUGAUAUAAAAUGAUAUAGAAGUAAAAACCUGGGCUGGUAUAGCAUAAUUAAUGUAUCAGUAAAGUAUGUACAUUGUAGAAGUGGCAGGAAGACAGCAUAGAGAGUGAGACCUGACCAAAAGCUUUAAGGAAAGUUCUAUACCCUUAAACGAGAUUAAAGUGGACUCAGGAAAACAUGGGCCACAUGAGGGGAAGGACACAUGUUCCAGAUGAGCCAAAGCUCAGAGCAUCUCUACCUUCUCCAGGAGGAAAGGGGAGGCAAAGCAGCAGGCAGAAGACAGCACGGCCAGGUCAGCACAGGGCACCCAGGCCAAGCCAGGUGGGCUCCAUCAUACAGGUAGUGAGGAGUCACUGCCAGGUGGGCUUUAUUCAUUAGUUUGUUUUGUUUCUUUUAGUAACGAAGACACAUGAUCAAAGUUGACCUUUGUAAGUGUUGCUGCAGCUGAACAAAAAGAUGGAUAAGACCAGUGUUUUAAAAAUUAUGUUGUAUAGAGCACUAGCCUCAGUGAGAUAUUAGUAGAACACACAGGCACACACACACACACACACACUCACACUAAGCCCAGAUUAUUCUGGCAAAUGCUGGGUUAAGCAAACUAAAAGAAACAUCUUUAGUGCUGGACUUCUCAGAACCUGGAAUGUCGCUAUAUGACUCAUAAAACAGCAAGGUUAAGACAGAACAUGUCAUUUUUUCCCAGAAAUGCUGAAACACUUUCCUUCCCUUGGCUUCAGUGUCACCUUCUUUCUCCUGGUUCUCCAUCAACCUCUUUGGCUGAUCCUUCUUGAUUUCCUUCUUGACAAUCUGCUGCUGCUCAGCCAUUCUCUUUUCAUUCCCCAUGGAUUUCUCAAGUGCGUUUCUAUUCCUGCAUUUUAAACUUUCCUUGUUUUUCCUGACACCUCUCCUUGUCUGACUCACCCCUGUUCUAAGGCAGGUGUUCCAUCUGUGUGCGCUUUUGGCACCCUGGGAUGCUCCCAGCAUGUUCCCUGCCACACUCCAUCAGGUUUUCUCCGCAGACUCUGUGAGGGCAGCAGCCUUGUCUCCACCAUUCCUUCAAUGCUCAGCACAUAACACAGAAGCUGACUCCAUAACAUUUAGUUGGCCAACUGAGACUAAAUAUAUGUUCCUCUAGAUCUUAAAAAGUUACAGAAACAUAGCACAAUAGACAAAAUAUUCUCUUUAGUCAGGAGUUCUCUAUAUAUGUACAACAGUUUGAAGUCAUUAUUAAAGCAAAGUGAAAGAGAAACUGUCACAGAAUUCCCCAAGAUAAAUUAUUUUGCUUUAGUCUUCAUCAUGUGAGAUAAUCAAGACCAUGUGUUAUUGUAAAUAUUUCUAGCUUACAACACAACGACCUGAUUUUUAUUGUGUGAAAUAACCGCAAUAUAAAUCAGUUAAUUAAAAAUUGCAUAAAUAAUCCUUUCAAAUAAAAUUCUGCCUAAAUUUUACAUUACUCAUAUGUUCAAAUGAUAAUGAGCUCAUAGGCUUUUCCAAUACCUCAGUCAAAACACUGUACUGAUUCCAGCUGUGGGAAUAGUAUCUGAAAGUUAUUUUACAGAUGGGGAACAGGUACUUACCUGACAUUGGCCUUUACACUACUGUGCCCUUUUAGGUCAGGAAAAAGCUGUUCCCUUAAAAUCCUAAAAUCUCUUCUGUCAGGUCUGAAGGGUGGGUGGGAAACACAGUUUUACAAAUUUUAGCCACAGAUGUUUUAUUCCUUGCUUAAAGCAGUGACUAGAUAAAGGCCACUAGAAGAGUCUCCAAUGUUUCUUUAGAAGCGUGUGCCUGAGAACAUCUUCCAGAAACACUCCCUUGUCUCUGCCCAAAAUCACCUUAGGUAGGAAAAUCAAAACUCAGCAGGCUGAGGGAUCCAAGGGGAUCACUGAGCUCUGAGUCUUAUGAGAGAAGAGAGAGAGGUCUAAGACUUUUUGUGUAUAAAUUUAUGGGUUCCAAGUGUAAUUUUGCUGUAAGCAUGGAUGGCAUAGUGGUGAAGUCAGGGCUUUUAGGUAUCCAUCACCAGAAUAAUGCACAUUGUACCCAUUAAGUAAUUUCUCACUGUUCACCCCUUCCAUCCCCUCACCCUGCUGAGUCUCCAUUAUCAUUCCACUCUCUACGUCAAUAUCUACACAUCUUUUAGCACCCGCUUAUGAGUGAUACAAUAUGAUGUUUACUCUGUGUCUGGCUUGCUUCACUUACAACAAUGGCCUCCAGUUCCAUCCAUGUGUCUGCAAAAGUUAUAAUUCUAUUGUUUUUUAUGCCUGAAUGGUAUUUCAUUGUGUAUAUUUUCUACAUUUUCUUUCUCCAAUCAUUUGUUGAUGGGUAUUUAGUUUCAUUUUAUGUCUGUGCUACUGUGAAUAGUGUUUGGUGGGAUUGCUGAAUCAGACAGAGCCAAUAGAUGAUCAGUAAUGGUGGCCAAUCAUCAGCUAGAAAGAAAGUGCUUAGCAGGGCUUGAAAACACCAAAACUCUGAGACCACUGACCUUCAAAAACUUCAACAGCCCUGAGUGAAAAGUCCAAACACAUUUAUCUACCAUUCGAAGACGCUUUAUUGUCUGUCCUCUGCACAUCUCAGUAGUCUCUUUUUACCACACUGUCUAUAUACUGCAUGAGCCAUUUAUAUGAAACUAUCUGACACUCCAAGGCAUCUUGUACUAUAUAUUCAACUAUGUAUCCCUAGUACCUAGCACAGUCCUGGCAUAUAGUUUGCUACUAAACUUUUACAGAAUGAAGGAAUUAUCUUGUAUCCAGGUUCCAAGUUUUAAGGUGAUUCUUCAGUAAAAAAAAGUAUUACAGUUCACAAAUAAUCUACUUCCCUUUUUACAAAUGGGAUCAAUUUUAAUCUUAUCUCCUAAUAACAUUACUUUCAUUUACUCUGAUCUAAAUAUACUGUCCUAAGAGAGCAAUAAGAAAGAGAGUUGAAGCUGGAGUUUGAAGAAUUGUACAUGGUCCUGUGAUACCCUACCUUGUUUUAACCUGAGUGACUCUCUCCUAGCGGAGAGAGAGCCGGACAGACUCCAUUUUAGUUUCUUCACGUGCAGCCCCCUUUACCUUCCACCCUUAAUUGCAUAACUAGUGUAAACUGACUCAAAGCAGGUCCAGGAAUGCACUUAGUGAUAAGAUAUUGAGGCAAGCUGCACCAGCUGCUCCUGGGUACGCACUCGGUGAAUGUCACGCAAAACCCCUGCAUUUCUCUCUUUGUGAUAGUUUAAGCCCCUGCACCUGGAACUGUUUAUUUGUUUUGUAACUGCUAUUGUAACCAAUUAAUAUUUUAACUAUUUGCCAGCUCUGCUUCUGUAAAACUUGUUUCAGCUAAACUCCCCCCUCCCCUAUUUAGACCACGGUAUAAAAACAAAACCAGCCCCUUCCUCGGGGCCAAGAGAAUUUUGAGCAUUACAUGCCUCUCGGUUACCGGCUAAUAAAGGACUCCUUAAUUUGUCUCAAAGUGUGGCAUUCCUCUAUAACUCGCUUGGUUACAACAGUCCACACUGUGGCCUGAGGUGCAUUGCCCACCUGAGCUUCAUCUGUUAUGUAUGUCAGGGAAUAUAAGCAGGGUGAGAGUGGCCUCAUCAGAGGACCCCAGAUCUCUGGCUUACCCAUCUGGCAAGUGCACCUCUGUGAGCAAAGACUUCAGAGCCAGGUGACAAGAAUGGCCCAAGCAGUCCACCAGGAAAACCUGGGCCCAGUGUACGUCAAUGCAGAGCAUCAAGCAUGGUGUAACAGGUGCACAGUUGCCUACUCCUGUUCAGAGAUGACUGCAUCCCACAUACCGUAAAAUGAGGAAAUGCAUAGAAGCAGAUGUAACUGAAGAAGACAGCAGAAGCAACAAGGAGGGACAACCAGGACCUAGGAGGGCACCAUGCCAGAGACGCCUGGACCCCAUGCUAGGCUCAGUGCCUGUUAUACUCUUGGGAGCCAGCACUUUCCCUCUCCAUCACAUGGCAUACUUGCCAUUAUUUGUUGUGUAAAAUAUUGUCCUUAGUUUUCACCUUUCCUAGGAGACACAGGCAGAGCCUGUGACACUACAGCUUCUGGCACACAGUAGGUAGGUGCAUCACAAACAUCUGCUGAGUUCACACACUCUUGCCUUCUCAAAACUUCUUGUCAAGUCUUCAGUGAAAAGGAAUUGCUGAUUGAGCAAGAAUUAAACUUCUAGAGACUCCUGGAUCCACUGAAGUUUGAGACAAGCUCUAGUCAGGAAGUGUUAGAGAGUUCUAAACAGGAAAUAUUCCAACACAUCAUCUAAGCAUGAAGCAGGAGACACCCAUAAUUGAGUUUGCUGCCACCAACCCCAACAGCAAGAAUUCCAGUCCUGCUGCUGCAAAGUAAGUGUCACUCUGAUUUUAUUGCUGCUGUGUAACCCAGUUUUAGACUCUCUGGUUCUCACUUAAUGUUCUAAAAAAGUAUUAAAGAGAAAAUUUUAUUCUGGUGAUGAGCCCAUCCACUGCAGCCAUCUCAACAUCAUACCAAUUAUAAGCCUAUCAUUUAAAAAGAAAGCUGUUAGUUUAACUUAUUUAUCCAAAUAUCAGUAUUACAUAAACAUAUUUGUCAUCAGACUUUGGACUUAUGGGUUAAAUAGCAUAUAAAUAUGAUUAGAGCCUUAAAGUUUACACUUCUCUGGUUCGCUCAAAUUUUUUUCAAAAUAGCAUAUGCCUUUCUAAACAAUGGUUAGUAUAUUUUUCAAAAUGAACAUUAAAAUGUAUAUUUUCCAAAAACAAAAUACAGCUCCCAUUGGUAAAUGAUGCUAUUGAGACACAACAGACAACUUCUCUUGGGAACCAUUUAAUCAGUGCUCACUUUUGCACUCUUUCCAGAAAUGUCAAUGGUUUUGAAAUAUAGAAGUAUAUUAUACAAAUAAACUUAUACUUAUUCAGUAUUGUGCAAUAUUUAGUAUUUCUUCUAGCCAUCUCUUGCUGAAUAGUAAGCCAUUCCAAAACUUACGGAAUUAUUUAUUGUUUAAUAUUGUUUAUUGUUAUUAUUUGUUUAGUAAUUUUAAUAACGUUAUUUCUCAUGGUUUUGUGGGUUGAUGGGCACUACAAAAGUUCUCUUUUGGAGUCUUUCUUGCAGUUGCGGUUGGUUGGCUGCUGCUGAAGUCACCUGAAAGCUCAAUUAGGCUAAAGAGUCUAAACGGGUCACUUACAUGGCUGGCAGUGCAUAUUGGCUGCUGAGUGUGAUGCCUAUCUGACCUCUCCAUGUUACCUGGAGUGCUCACAACGUGGUAGUUUGUCCCAAGACACACAGGCAAAUACUACAAAGCUUCUUAGGGCCUAGCCUUGGAGGUCCUAGAAUACGACUUCUGCUGCAUCCUAUUGGAAAAGCAAGUCAUUGUGACCAGCACAGAUUCAAGAAAUGGGAGAUUCGACUCUACCUGUCAAUGUAAACAGCAGCAUGUGCAUGCAGGGAGGAAAGAAAUUGAGGGCAUCAUCUUGAAGACUAUCAUAUCACACCAUUAUUCCAACUAGUGAACAUUAUGUUUUAGAUGGGUAGUACUAGCUACUCAUCUGUCCCCCAGAAACCCAAGCUAAGCAUGGACAUAUUGAAGAGAAUGUCAACACCAUUAAAAAAACUCUAGAAAAAUCACAUGUGAUGACUGAGGUUAAUUCAGUCUGUCAACUACAUCAAUAUAAUUGCCUUCUUGUAACCCUAAGUAUGGUGAAGCAGAAUUGAAUUCUACAAAAGUCUUUCAUCUGUUUUCCUAUGGAAUAAUUAACAAACCCAAUAAAUGUAUAAAUAGCAUGAAGUCCGACUUAUUUUAGAUUUUUACCUCAUAAUUUCAAAGCUUAUAGAAAUCCAGAGAACUAAUCAUCAUAAUCCAUAAUGCCUGGACCAGAAGUCCUUGUUCUAAGAGUAUCUUGUGGCAUGCUAAAAAUGUAUUACUAACUAGGAAAUUUAAAACUUUUUUGUUAGUGGUUUUAAGAGAGCUGACUAGCUCAUCACCACAAUUCACACAGAUUAAGAAAGGAGGUUACUCUGUGGAGUGGAUUCAUAGUGAUCAGAAAAAAAAAAUCACAAAAGAGGAAAGGAGAUAGGGAAGGGGAAAGAUACUGUCAAUCUCUACAAUUAAAGUGAUUUUUCGAAUGGUUUGAUUUUGUAUUUGCAAAGGAAAGGCAGCUUAAUGUGAUAGAAUAAGAAUCCCACUUCUGUAUCUUUUUUUUUUUUUUUUUUUUUUUGAGACGGAGUCUCGCUCUGUCGCCCAGGCUGGAGUGCAGUGGUGCAAUCUUGGCUCACUGCAAGCUCUGCCUCCCGGGUAGAUGCCAUUCUCCUGCCUCAGCCUCCCGAGUAGCUGGGACUACAGGCGCCCACCACCACGCCCGGCUAAUUUUUUGUAUUUUUUGUAGAGACAGGGUUUCACCGUGUUAGCCAGGAUGGUCUCGAUCUCCUGACCCUGUGAUCCCCCCACCCUGGCCUCCCAAAGUGCUGGGAUUACAGGCGUGAGCCACUGUGCCUGGCUCGUCUUCUUUUGAGAAGUGUCUGCUUAUGUCCCUUGUCAAUGUUUUAAUGGGGUUGUUUUCCUAAUGUCCAACAUCACUAAUCAUCAGAGAAAUGCAAGUCAAUGAGAGAUACCAUCUCAUAUUAGUCAGAAUGGCUACUAUUAAAAAGUAAAAAAAUGACAAAUUCUGGUUAGACUUCAGAGAAAAUGAAAUGCUUAUACACUGUUGGUGAGAAUGUAAAUUAGUUCAGCCACUGUGAAAAGCAGUUUGGAGAUUUUUCAAAGAAUUUAAAACAGAAGUGCCAUUCAACCAGCAAUUCCAUUACUGAGUAUAUAUCCAAAAGAAAAUUAAGAAUUCCACAAAAAAGAAACCCCACAUGCACUUGUAUAUGAG
rnacentral:lncRNA from 1 species